CAAAAUCAGAAGAUGCCAAAACUGAACUUGCUUCAGUACUAAGUCAGGAGCAUGCGUGCCUCUUACUGUUAAAAGGGCAUACACAUCCAAAGAGCAGUGUGUGUGCAUUUGUUUGUGUUUCUGUGUGUGUGUCUGUCUAUCUGUCUGUUUCUCUGUGUGUGUCUGUGUGUCCAUGUGUAUGUGUGUGUGUGUGCAUGUAUGUCUCUGUGUCCGCAUAUGUCUGUCUCUGUGUGUGUAUGUGCGCGUGUGUGUGUGUGUGCGUGUGUGUGCAUGUAUGUCUGUGUGUCUAUGUGUGUGUCCCUGCCUCAGCCCAAUUCUCAGAUCAAUUAGAGAUUGCUCUUGAGUAGUGUCUCAUGUCUACACUUGAAGUGGAAGGAAGACAGAACAAUCAGAAAGCAUCAAACUUCUCUUUCCCAGACUGUCUACCUGUCUGCAAGGAACCUGAAACCGUUGCCUCUGAACUGAAAAGAAAAGA
rnacentral:lncRNA from 1 species